rnacentral:rRNA from 1 species
UACGAAGGGGGCUAGCGUUGCUCGGAAUCACUGGGCGUAAAGGGUGCGUAGGCGGGUUUUUAAGUCAGAGGUGAAAGCCCGGGGCUCAACCCCGGAAUUGCCUUUGAGACUGCAUCGCUAGAAUUGUGGAGAGGUAAGUGGAAUUCCGAGUGUAGAGGUGAAAUGCGUAGAUAUCAGGAGGAACACCGGUGGUGUAAACGGCUUUCUGGACCAUAACUGACGCUGAGGCACGAAAGCGUGGGUAGCAAACAGG